GUUUGCAAAGAUGGACGGCUGAAACAAUGGUAAGCAAUCAUUUUUCCUACUACUUUUCUGUUUGUCUGAGUGAGUUGAGAAACUGAGAGAUUGCUGUAUGCAUUGGAUGGGCCCUGUAAUGCCACACAGCAAUAUAAACAUGAUACUCCCGCCAACCAGUAUCGCUCAGGGCAUGUUUUGUAUUAUAAUUUCUUGGCUGAAGUGUAGUAAUUUGUCAUCUGUUGAAACAGCAGAUGCCAAUGGUGUGUGUAAAUUACGAUCAGAAACAGCACAAGGAGCACUGCUGGACAUUUUGGUAAGGAUGGAUGGCUGGGAUUCUGUAAUGCAGUCAUGAUCUUAGAAUGAUAGAUUGAUAGCUCACAGCUAUUAUGCAAAAUGUGUAUUUUUUUGGCAGUCUUAGUACCUUUAUGAAAUUUACAUUAUGAAAAUUAUAUAUCUGUAGAAGAGGGUUGAAGAAUUUCUGAACUUGGCAUCAAAAUUC
rnacentral:misc_RNA from 1 species